AUACCUUUCUCAGCCUUUUGGCUAUGAUCAAGUGUAGUAUCUGUUCUUAUCAGUUUAAUAUCUGAUACGUGGGCCAUCGGCUCACAUGAUAUUAAAUUAAUUUCUGAUGGGGGAGGGCCCACCAGAGUAGCUUGCUAUUGGCUGUCGCCCUUGUGUUGCACUAUUGCGUGGGCUAGGUGCACCCCAA